GUGUCAUAUAAUUACAUUUAAUAAGAUUUGCUGUUUAGUACAGAAAAGGGAAAAAUCAUGAAGGUGGGAAAAGCUAGUAAGCAUUAGCAGCACUGUGCUUAUUUUAUCCAAAAAAUCCUUUAAUCACAGUUUUACUGCAAAGUUAGACAAGCAGAAGGUCCAAGAUAACAAUCUCAAAGCCUUGUGAAGAUGAAACCAGAUGUGAGCUGUCAAAUUAAAAGGUAAACUGCAUUGGAAAAAAUAGGUUUUUAAUCAUCUUUAAAAAUGGCAAAUGGAGCUAAAAGUGUGGUAGAAGAGAAAAACCACAAGCCAAAAUGACCUGACUAAUUAUCAGACCGGUAUUUUUUUAUUUUAAUUUUUUUUUGUUUUUUUUGAAAGUGUCACUAAACACAGGACAUGUUCUAACUAUAAAGCACAGCUUAUCAAAGGGUUCAAACGGUUGCAGUAUAGGAAACUCUUAAGACAAUGAUGGCCACUACUACCAUCAAAUCUACUCCUCUUACACAUUGCUCAUAAGUAAAAUGAAUUCUGGGAAAUGUCAUGUGUCUCAGUUAAAUACACAGACUGAUUGUGACUGUGAAAGUGGAGCUGCAGAGCUUCAUGGUUUUAUGUCUUGACUUUGUUUCACCACAACAACCUCACAUUUGCUCCAUUCUGCUGUUAUUUUUUUUUUUUAUUGCCCAUUCAUUGUUACAUUUCAGUCACACUAUAUUACUACUAACUAUGAUUGCUGUUAAUUCUUGUGUGCAAUUAUUUCUUCCCAAUCACACAAAAAUAAAAAAUCUAGACAUUUUAGUAACAAUCUUACAAAGUGUUCAACUUCAACAAAAAAAAAGCAAAAAAUGUAAAAAAUUAGCGUCAUAAAAUUAAUUUAUUCCACAUAAAAAUACAAAAUAAUAUAAACGACAUUGACCAGGUAUGAAAGUCUCCCCCAGAAAUAGCUAACAUUAAUGGUUGAGGAAUAAAUGUGUAAAGAAAACAAAUAAAAAAUAAUGGAAAAUAUGUAAAUGUUUUAAUUCUUGUCUUUUUUUUUUUUUUGCAAAAAAUCUCUAAAAAAUAAUGAAAAUAUUUCUCAGUACAAAGGCUACAUUACUACUGGAAGGUACAAGCACGUCGAGUAAAUACACAGUAGAAAAUGAUUUUAGUGAAUCACAAUGCUCGCAAUGAAAAUAAAUCUGCAAUAAAGAUUUAUGCCUUUUUCUGUUCUUUUUUCUUUUUUACAAACAGUACAAACAGUAUUGCACAUUACAACAAAGAAUCAAGGUUCUUAGCCUUUAAAAAAAAGGGACUAAUUCAAGUCUCGGGUGAAUAGAAGGCCUCCACAUCAGCGACACAUCUGGGGCUUGAAAGUUGAAACGUUUAAUAUCUUUCCAGCUUCCCAAGUUUACAUUCUUUCCUCUCCAUCUUGCCAAAAAUCAUAACUUUUCUGCCAUCCCUAAACAAUAUAAGGUUGACAAAUUGGGGCAUGUAUGCUUUACAAAACAAAGGGGAACACAUCAUUUCACCAAACAUAAAAAUAUAACAAACAGAAGAUUUUCAGCAUAGUAAAGGUCUGAUUGUAAAUAUAUAAAAACGUAAGUAGUAUGUUUAUAAGCACCUGACGGCCCGUUGACCCUAUAGAAUAUAUAUAUAUAUAUAUAUAUAUAUAUAUAUAUAUAUAUAUAU
ensembl:lncRNA